rnacentral:lncRNA from 1 species
CUUCUCUCGUUGCCAAAAUUCUCUCAUGUUAAAAUCGUAUUAUUCCGGUGAAGAUUCGUUGUUUUUCCGACAAACCAAAAACAAACCCAAAACACCAAACAAGUAAAAUCAUGUUACCUAUCCUCACCUUUUGAUCACGUCUUUACGUUCGGAAACCUCUCGUGACACCCAACACAGUUUUCCGGCCAACCUACUCGUUCUCCGGCAACCUCUGUAGCAUCGACCAAGCUCUAUUCUACUCCAGAAAGAUCGUUACAAACACUCCGUGAACAAAUCAACGUCAAUUGAAAGGUUUAAGGUCGCGGAUUCCUUCCUUUACUAUCUGUAUAGUAUGGGUUAGCAGGGAUGGCGGGAA